AUGCGAAAUGGACUUUCAAAGAAAAUUAAACUUUUAAAUUGUAAUGGGACGCCCUCAACAGACGAAGACGACAUUAUGAAAACAUUACACAUCUUUUUAAAACAAAUAAUAACUCGUUUUCUAUUCUUCAGAACAACAUCACAUCACUUCCUUCGUACUUACCUACAGGCAGAACUCUCAGAUGCUUUACCUUAUUUGGUGGUUUCAUCGGUAUCGGCGGGAACAUCACGUCCCUUGGGAUUCCUCAGAGAAGUAGUAAGCGCAAUAGAGUAUCUAAGAGCCCGUUUUUCUUUGGAAUACUUAUUUACAAUAUCACGCAAAGCAUUAUAUGCCGAUCUUCUUGACAUAACUUUUCCUGUACCUUUGUAUCGAAGUAUAUUCAACCAUGGACCAGGACAAGAUGUUCUUACGCGUGUCCGAAAAUUGCGCGUCUCACCUACCGCGAAGUCAUUUUUCUUUAAACUUCACACUUCAACGUUGCCUGUGAAACCCUGGCUUCGCGAACGAGGAAUUUUUGUACCCUGGUCAGUGAAUCGCCGUCUUUGUAACCAACCAGAAACUAUAGAGCAUUGUUUUAUUUUCUGCACUGAUGCCUACCUCUUCUGGGACGUCCUUCAGAGAACACUGAAAAAAGAUUUGGACGUCAACGCAUACACAAUCCGGUUUUUAACUUUAAAACCCAACGAUAGUUUUCCUUAUGAUUUGUUCACGCUCAUGGGUUUGCAUAGUCUCUGGAAGACGAGAAUGAUCGACAGAAACGCCGAUCCACCCCGGACUACAAAAUAAAACUUUAUAGAAACUGUAUCUCACGUGAGAAAUGUGUUAGAUCAUCUUAAGGAACGCCCAGACUGGUAUGCUCUCAUUGAUCGAUGUCUCCAUCUUCCUGAUUUUUAG
rnacentral:sRNA from 1 species